GACGUAGGGCGCGAGCGUUGUCCGGAUUUAUUGGGCGUAAAGAGCUCGUAGGCGGCUUGUCGCGUCGAAUGUGAAAUUUCAGGGCUCAACUCUGACAUUGCAUUCGAUACGGGCAGGCUAGAGUUCGGUAGGGGAGACUGGAAUUCCUGGUGUAGCGGUGAAAUGCGUAGAUAUCAAGAGGAACACCUGAGGUGAAGACGGGUUGCUGGGCUGACACUGACGCUGAGGCGCGAAAGCCAGGGGAGCAAACGGG
rnacentral:rRNA from 1 species